UUCGAGUGGCGGACGGGUGAGUAACGCGUGGGUAACCUGCCUUACACAGGGGGAUAACACCUGGAAACAGGUGCUAAUACCGCAUAAGCGCACAGGGCCGCAUGGCCCGGUGUGAAAAACUCCGGUGGUGUAAGAUGGACCCGCGUCUGAUUAGCUUGUUGGCGGGGUAGGGGCCCACCAAGGCGACGAUCAGUAGCCGGCCUGAGAGGGUGGACCGGCCACAUUGGGACUGAGACACGGCCCAAACUCCUACGGAAGGCAGCAG
rnacentral:rRNA from 1 species